GCGAGGGAACACAAGGGAAGUAAACAUUUGUAUAUAUUGAUGAAACCAAAAUUGGGAGAUGGCCUAGAUGAUAGGCCUGAAGUCAGUCAAUUGAGUAGAGGUGAGGUGGCAGCUGCAACCACGGAGUCUCAAGACGCUUGGCAUUGUGUUCUCUAUUCUAUGAUGGAAGCUACCCUUACCUCUAACCUCAACAGACAAUGAACCUGGAGGCCUGCAGUAAUUUCAAAGUGGGAUGGGAUUGUUGACUCCUCUAAACGCCUUGGAUUUCGUCCCACAGAAAAACAAGAUCAAGAGUAUCUGCCUGCUUUACGGUCCAUUAUUACUUUUGGUACGCGCUAGGCCAGUCUCAAACUCGUACCGUGAGUAAUAAUGCACUGUGGCUGUCACUGCCAACGAGGGACAGACCACACCACCAUAUCUUACUUUCACUGUUCUCCAUAUUCCUAUGCAUCUCGUUGUUGUAAAGCAAGAAAUGUGAUAUAUUCAUGAAAACAGUGUUUGAAACUCUAAGGCCUUGUGUGGGGAAAGACAGCAUUUUAAUAUAAUCCUUUGUCUACUUUCAUAAACAGACUAUUACAUUUACUUAAAUAUUAUUGUUGAGUUGUUUACAUAUGUUGAAUUUUCUGUACCUCGUGAUUGCAAGCUAUAUGCAAAUGAAUAAUAAUAAAAAUACUUGAAUAUAGCUUAGCCAAUAGCAUUGUAGGUCUUGUGCAUCUACCAAGGCUUCAGUUGAAAUACCCCAACAUUGAGCUUUGUUUGUGAUCUGAGCACCACAAUACUUGCUUUGCCUUUACACUGAUUGGUGAAUUCUAAGUAUUACCCCCCACAAUCUUAAAGUAACUGGCAUGUGAAAAUGUCACUUUAAAAAGUACAUUCUGGUAACUCAUAUCCAAAUAAUGUUGUUUCGUAUUUUUGGCCAAAGCAUAAAUUGGAGUACUAGCACUUCAAAAAAAACACCUCAAUCUUGUAUCUCAAACGGACUGUUUAAAAAAUGCUUGUUACUUCCUCAUAGAGGAUGAUGGCCAAUCAGCAUUCCAGAGGAGGAUGAGAUGGCGAGUCAAUGGUCUAUUUGAAUGACCAGUGUACACCCACACCAUUCUGUUGUUGCGGUAUGCCAACACCGUUCCAAUGCAGAAAAGCUGCUUUUUAACCUACUUAAUAAAAACAAUUUUGAAGGAAAAAUAUUUUACUCGUAUCGUAAGUAAUUAUAGGUCAUUUUCCAUAGAAAUCUGAAAACAUUUGUCAGUUGCUUUAAGAUGACUGCAUUAAGUCACUCUGGAGGAUCAGAGCAUCUGCUAAAUGACCAAAAUGUUAUACAGAGCUGCAGAAUAAAUUCCCUGAGCCUUGUGACUGUU